rnacentral:rRNA from 1 species
AUUGAACGCUGGCGGCAGGCCUAACACAUGCAAGUCGAGCGAGCGGCGGACGGGUGAGUAAUGUAUGGGGACUGCCCGAUAGAGGGGGAAAACUACUAGAAACGGUGGCUAAUACCGCAUACUAGCGGAUAACUCAUAUUGGAUUAGCUAGGAGGUGGGGUAAAGGCUCACCUAGGCGACGAUCUCUAGCUGGUCUGAGAGGAUGAUCAGCCACACGGGGACUGAGGCACUGCCCAGACUCCUACGGAGGCAGCAGUGGGGAAUAUUGCCCAAUGGGCGCAAGUCUGAUGCAGCAAUGACGCGUGUAUGAAUAAGGCUUUAGGGUUGUAAAGUACUUUCAGCGGGGAGGCGUUACCCGCAGAAUAAGCAACGGCUAACUCCGUGCCAGCAGCCGCGGUAAUUC